CGUGUGUUAAACUUAAUACACACAUUUCAAUGGGAUGUCGUUGGACUUGUACUUAUGACGGUUUCAUGAAACGCUGCCCAGAUCCCCGACACCGAACACCUGGGGAGGUUUCACGAAACCGUCAUUAAGUCUAACUUUUUAGACAUCGUAUUGAAACGUGUGAUAGAGAUCUAACACGUGUUUCUACCAAAUCUCCACGAGCUUAGACUUAUGGCAGUUUCGAGAAACUAGCACUCGCUCUGAAUCUGGCGCAUCCACGGCCUGCACGCUGGAAGCUCGGAUCUGACCGCCUGCGAUGCAUGCCCCGGACGCGACGGCAGCCCGCUCUCGAGCUAACUCUCCAUCGCAUCGUGCAGCUGUCUUUCUUCUCUUUCACGAACACGGUUGCCCGACUGAAACAACUAGACCACAUUAGUAUCCUGACAUCAAGAUAGGUCUCUAUUAUGUGCCCAUCCGUCUGAUUAAGUCUUCUUUGGAGCAAACUGUCAGACAUUUGCGGUAGUAUACAGCUGAAAUGGAAUUUCCGUUCAACCAAACAGUAUACUUCAAGGCUAUUUCUCAGCGACGAGGGUUAGCUCCAGGUAGCAGUAGCAGGCUGGAAGUAACACACAUGUGCAGUGUUUCAGUCGAAAACGAAUACCACCCAUUCAAAAUCGGUUAUAGGAUCUUGUCCAUAUGUCCAUAUUUUUGUAUGCAUGUGAAACAUGGACCAUGACAGCAGACAUUAAAAGAAGGAUACAGGCACUGGAGAUGAAAUGUUUCCGCAAACUCCUCAGUAUCUGGUAUAGAGAUCACAUAACCAACGAGGUAGUGAAAAUCAGAAUUGGAAACACCAUAGGGCCGUAUGAAGACCUCCUGACUUCAGUGAAAAGAUGCAAAGUAAAGUGGUAUGGGUAUGUCACAUGAUCAUUUGGACUGGCCAAGACUAUUCUACAUGGAACAGUACAAGGAGGGAGACGAAAA